UACGUAGGGCGCAAGCGUUAUCCGGAAUUAUUGGGCGUAAAGAGCUCGUAGGCGGUUUGUCGCGUCUGCCGUGAAAGUCCGGGGCUCAACUCCGGAUCUGCGGUGGGUACGGGCAGACUAGAGUGAUGUAGGGGAGACUGGAAUUCCUGGUGUAGCGGUGAAAUGCGCAGAUAUCAGGAGGAACACCGAUGGCGAAGGCAGGUCUCUGGGCCAUAACUGACGCUGAGGAGCGAAAGCGUGGGGAGCGAACAGG
rnacentral:rRNA from 1 species